AUUGAACGCUGGCGGCAUGCUUUACACAUGCAAGUCGAACGGCAGCGCGGGCUUCGGCCUGGCGGCGAGUGGCGAACGGGUGAGUAAUGCAUCGGAACGUGCCCAGUAGUGGGGGAUAGCCCGGCGAAAGCCGGAUUAAUACCGCAUACGACCUGAGGGUGAAAGCGGGGGGACCGAAAGGCCUCGCGCUAUUGGAGCGGCCGAUGUCGGAUUAGCUAGUUGGUGGGGUAAAGGCUUACCAAGGCGACGAUCCGUAGCUGGUCUGAGAGGACGACCAGCCACACUGGGACUGAGACACGGCCCAGACUCCUACGGGAGGCAGCAGUGGGGAAUUUUGGACAAUGGGGGCAACCCUGAUCCAGCCAUGCCGCGUGCGGGAAGAAGGCCUUCGGGUUGUAAACCGCUUUUGUUCGGGAAGAAAUCCUCUGGGCUAAUACCCCGGGGGGAUGACGGUACCGGAAGAAUAAGCACCGGCUAACUACGUG
rnacentral:rRNA from 1 species